GUUCACAGAGCCCAAUCCACAGCACAAAACAGGAGUCUAUUUCAAGCGAACUGGAUGAAAGCUUGGAAUUAUCUAGCCAGAAAGAAGAAUGGGAGAAUGGGGAUGAAGACAAUAACUCGUCUGGUUGGAAUUCCAUGACUUCGGGAAAAACGCAGGAGAAUGAUGAUCAAUGGGAAGAUCAGUUGCUGGAUCAACAGGAUCAGUUGGGAAAAGAGAUGGAAGAAGCCAGGCAAAUGAUCUCCAUUUUGCAAGCUUUGCUACUGAACGGUUCGCUGCCUGAAGACGAACAAGAGGGAUCCUUUCCCCUGUCCGAGCAGGGAGCCUGCUCAGAGGAGCA